AUUGAACGCUGGCGGCAGGCCUAACACAUGCAAGUCGAGCGGAUGAAGGGAGCUUGCCCCUGGCUUCCGCGGCGGACGGGUGAGUAAUGCCCAGGAAUCUGCCUGGUAGUGGGGGAUAACGUCCGGACACGGGCGCUAAUACCGCAUACGUCCUGAGAGAGAAAGUGGGGGAUCUUCGGACCUCACGCUAUCAGCUGACCCUAGGUCGGAUUAGCUAGUUGGUGGGGUAAAGGCCUACCAAGGCGACGAUCCGUAACUGGUCUGAGAGGGUGAUCAGUCACACUGGAACUGAGACACGGUCCAGACUCCUACGGGAGGCAGCAGUGGGGAAUAUUGGACAAUGGGCGAAAGCCUGAUGCAGCCAUGCCGCGUGAGUGAAGAAGGUCUUCGGAUUGUAAAGCACUGUAAGUUGGGAGGAAGGGCAGUAUGUUAAUACCUUGCUGUUUUGACGUUACCAACAGAAUAAGCACCGGCUAACUUCGUG
rnacentral:rRNA from 1 species